rnacentral:lncRNA from 1 species
AACGAUAAAAAACAUGCAUAGAAAAUCCAAUGAAUAUCCCAGAAAUCCCAAUUUCAAGACCGCAAUACAGUAUCAGGAAAUCCCAACAUAACCCAAUAAAAACUCAGAGAAAAAUGGAGGAGAAAGGAAGCUUGCGCCUCGAAUUAAAACGAAGGGAAGUAGAACAAUAAUUGCGUCCGUCGUGCCUCCGCCACACCUUCGUCGCCCUUCAACGAUCUUGUUCGCGAGAAAAGGAGAAGAAGGGCUCUUGCAUUGAAUCGUGCCCUUACCGGGCCAAGAAGAGAAGAAACCACGAGACCACCAAAGGAAACCUAAACGCACACUACGAGAGCUCUUCUCUUCCUCGCUCAACUCCAGAUCGAGCAUCUAACUCGCGAGACCAUCUCACCACCGCAGAACGUCGUUUCGAAAUCUCCUCCGGGAGAGACAACAACCCUAAACCUGAAAUGUAGAAAAUAAACUGCAAAUCGACGCCAUAUUCAAUCAUCACCGCGACACCAACCUUCUCA